ensembl:lncRNA
CACGCUUCGAAACCUCGGCACAUCAGGUCACAUCACUAGUCGGCACGUCUGGUAGCAUCUCUGGCUGCUGUUGACCUUGUUUUUGGAGUAAAACACGGUGGAAGCUGAAUUAGUGAGGAUGACUCCUGCUCCUGUCAUCUCUAAGCUCCUCACACAUCUUUACCUGCACAUGAGGAAAAUCACUCCUGUAGAAUGCAGAUGUUCAGAGGGAGAUGAUGCCACAUCUGGUCCAGCUGAUGGAAGGUCUUGAAGUUCUCUGACUGGCCUCGACUGAAGAUGGUCGUCUCACUGGAUUUAAGGUUCAGAUACUCAGUAACAAACUCCACCAAUGUGCCAACAGGGAAGCUUUAGGUUUAUUAAAUGUUGCUAUGAAGGUAUCACUGUUUUUCUUUGUGAAUGCAAUGUGCUCCAACUGAAACUUGAAUUACAACUUAAAAGUAAAUCCUUCCAUCUGAAAGGAUUUAGUUGCAUUAAUAACCUCAUAACAUUCUAAUUUUUAUUCCAGUCUUGGUUGGAAAUAGAAUCUCUGUAUUGAUUCAGGUAAAAACUGAACUUCACAGCAUGUUGGAGCAAAACAACCAGAUGAAAACUGUGAUGGUGUUGGAUUAUCAGACCGUAAUGUUGCAGCUCAAAGCAGCUUUUCUAGCUCAGUUCAUUCUGACAUUCAGCUAUGAAUCAACACAGCAGAUGGUGAUCCAUGCUGUGGAAGUCUCACAUCUCCUCAUUUAAUGGAGCUGCUUUGCACUUUUUACACUGUUUAUUCACCAACACUUUAUUUAAUAAAAGUCCCAUCUAGUUUUUAUGAGGAAUGUGAUGUUUUAAUUUCUCUGUGAAUAACUGCAGUCUAAUGCAACAGCUGGAGUUGUAACAUCUGUCCUGAUGUUGAUCAUGAAGUAUUGAUCAGAAUACUUAUGGUCAGCAGUCAUCCC